rnacentral:rRNA from 1 species
UACGGAGGGGACUAGCGUUGUUCGGAAUUACUGGGCGUAAAGCGCACGUAGGCGGACAUUUAAGUCAGGGGUGAAAUCCCAGAGCUCAACUCUGGAACUGCCUUUGAUACUGGGUGUCUUGAGUGUGAGAGAGGUAUGUGGAACUCCGAGUGUAGAGGUGAAAUUCGUAGAUAUUCGGAAGAACACCAGUGGCGAAGGCGACAUACUGGCUCAUUACUGACGCUGAGGCUCGAAAGCGUGGGGAGCAAACAGG